UGUGGAGUUCUGGGUUUGUGGAUGGCUUGCCUGUAGUGGUUGUGUCUUGGUGAAACUGCUGUCUCUCUUUUUAAAAGCAUGGGGUAUGUUGUGAUGGAUUUGGUGUUGAGGACAAUUGAGUACUGGAGCAGCCUGCUCAAAGAGGUCACGGAAUUUCUUCUUCAAGAGAUUUUUGAAAGAAGUCUGGAUGUUUUUCCUGUGUGAUCUGCUGCAUGGAACCUGCUUUAGAAGGGAAGAGCACUUGCAAGAUCACAAGGAAUGUAUGAGAGGCCAGUUGCUCGAAUAGGUGUUCUACCAGCUGGCUGUGCACUCAAGUUAGAAUGGUGAAACAAGCUACUAGGAAUCAGAAUAAAAGUUGAAAAAGGAAGUAGAAUACUGCUGCUUGUUGCUUGGAUUUGUAACAGAAAAGGGUUUCUUUACAGGUAGGAGCAGUAACAGAAAACAUAACUGACAUCUGGGUAAAUGCAGGUAAGGAAGAAUGAAGAAAAGGAUGAUUGUGGGGGGGAUCAUCAGGCAGAGCAACAGGAAACACUAUGAAAAAAGAUCAACAAGUAAAGGUAAGGCACACUCACUUACAACUAACUUCAAACUAACUUAGAAACUAACUUGAACUUCUUUCAAACCUGUACUCUUAGAAAGUGAAAUCUUACUCUCAAUCUUACCCUGUCAGACUUACUUACAGACAAAUGUUCCAUCUUUCAAACUUGCUAUCUUUCAGCCUUCAAGGAUACAAACUUUGAAACUUCCCAACUUACAGACAUACAUUCAAACUUAUGUGCAAUCUUCGAUCUUUCAAACUUAGAAAGCAAGAUACCAACUUAGAAACCAAGAAACUUGCAUGCUUCAAGCUUUCAAACUUAGAAACCUAGAAACUUAGAAAAUAACUAAGAAACCACCUUACUUGGAAAAUUAGCACUUAGAAAACUAGAUCCCUGAACAUUCAAACUUCAAGCCUUCAAUCUUACUUACUUAGAAACACAAACUUUCAGACUUCACAUUUUUAAACUUACAGAACUAGUAACUUACAAAUAUAGAAACUUAGAAUCUAUGUUAGAAAUGUAGAAAUUUAGAAACUAACUUACAAACUGACUGACUUAGAAAAUUAGAACUUUGAUACUUAUAAGUUACUUAGAAGCUUAGACACAGAACUUAAAACUUGGAAACUUUGAACUUACUCAGAAAAUUAGAACUUAGAAACCCGGACGCUUAGAAUGUAGUUAGGAAACUAGAACUUGGAAAAUUCUAACUUACUUUUGAACUUCAAAGGUACAGACAAACUUUCAAAGUUCCAGGCAAUGUUCAAACCUUCAGACUUAAAAAAAAUAAAAUAAAAUAAAAUUUCAAUUUUUCAGACUUUCAAAUCUACUUCCACACUUUCAAUCUUGAAACGCACAGCUAGAUAAACUUCUAAACUUCAGUCUUACAAGCAUGCUUCAAACUGUCAAACUUCAAACAUACAGAAAAACUUUCAAACUUACUUUCACGUUUAUUUAGAAACUUUCCAAUGAGUAUAUAAACUUUCAAUCUUAGCACCUUAGAAAUAAGCUUUCAAGCCUACAAGCAAACUUACAAGCUUUCAUACUUACAAGCUUUCUUACAAACUUACACACUUUGAACAUUUUGACUGAUGAGCGUGGCCUACUGUAGGGAGGUGUGAAUACAUGCACAGUUCAUUAAACAACAAGAGUAGUUAUGAGAGUUUACCCAAGUCAAGCAAUGCUAGGUAAUUGUGAUGUUGCUUUGUGGUAAGCCACCUGUCACGAAGCACUUCCAGCUGAAGACUCAAUCUGCUGCACAGCCUCCAGAUGAUUUCUAAUUAGUGUAAAUUUUACCUGUGGCACGGAACCAAUAUCGCAAAAUGAUAGUUGUUUGUUUUGUACUUCCUUUUGCUCUCUUCUUCCCAGCGCUGCAAAAAUGGAUCUUUCUCAGAAUCCUAAGUAAAUCUGUGGCGUUAAGUUCUAAGAGAAGCCUUCCCCCUUCAUUUGAGGGAAGGGCGCUAUUUCCUACUAAGAGGGAAGGAAGCCUGAGAUCUCGAGAGGAAAAGGGUGUGGAAAAAAAAAUAUAUAUAUAUAUUAAAAAAAGAGAUUAAAGAAAGGAAAACCCUCACGUUUAGCACCAGAUGUUGUCCAUAACUUCAGACAGUCUGAGCAGUGCUCACUGCUGGCACUGACAUGAAAGGAACUUCUGCCAAAGUUCUCAAAGGCCAGAGAAAACCAAAGCCAACACCGAGACACACACCAAUUCCUUUCUGCUUGCGAGGGAAUGGCAGGAAGCAACGCUCCCAUGCUUAGACUGCACCAGCGUUUCUACUGCCUUAAAAUAUUAUAGCUGCUAUCCUGUUAGAGUUUUCUGCUUACAUUCUGUCUCUGGCCCAAACACCCUGUGACAUCUGAACAGCGGUCUCCUUUCCCUGGCUCACGCACCUUGCUCCCUUACCAAGAUUAACAAUAUUAACAGUAAAAUAAUUGCUGCUCAAGUUAGUUAUACUUUUAAACACAACUGGAAAGCAGCAGCAGACUUUUGAGACUCUUCAGGAGGUCAGCUACACUUUUUGCCUUAUCAAAGGAGAAUGCUAACAUGAGUUAUAGUUUUUAACCAUUUCAUCGCUGGAGUAAGAAAAAAAAAAACUUUCUACUCUGAGUUACCUGCGUGGUCUGGGAAAGCUUGACGGAGUGACAGUUAAAUGCCAUAGUGCUCACUGGGUUAUUUCUUUACAUAGCAUUUCUCAUAAUUACAAAAUGCCAAAUUCCUUACCUGCCUGUCAACUAUCUUGUCUUUCAGUCCCCCGACACCGUCUAGCAGCAGAUAACAAGCGGCAGCACAACAAAAGCUGUCCGAGAUUUCCUUCCUCCCUGGAAAGCAAUCAGGACGCGUGCGUUAUGAGUUUCAGCAGAAUGAUUGGUUGUACUCAUUAACUCAGGCUGCACAGAAAGUAUCUUUCACUCAAUUAAUCUCCAAGUAGGGGGAUAGUACUUGUGAAUCAUCUUGCCUCUCCUCGUUGCUCGGUUAGCUGUAAUUUUGUGCUCCGCUACUGCUCGCUGUUCGGAGAAGCUGUGGCCAUGACAAAUAGCAGCCACGCUCGUUACAGCUACUUUGGCAUUCUUGUGACAACCUGCACCGGGGUAUUCCUAAUUAAAGCUCAGGAGACUGGAGUUUCGCUAGUAAUAAUAUGCUCUGGAUGUAGUUUGAUUGCUCCGAGUUAUGUUUGAACUUGUAUUUUUAAAAGAGACGAUCGUUAAAUUAGUUGAAUACGCAAACACGUGCGCUUCCACACCCGCAGAUGCCAGACUUGGAGAAUAUGGCUUGCUCUAGUGGCUGGCAAACCUGCCCACGGCAGAAUCUUGGAACUACAUGAUCUUUGAAGUCCCUUCCAACCCAAGCCGUUCUCUGAUUUUCAAUAGGUGCCUCCCCAAAACCCUGAUAAGCACGUGCUGAUGCCUACAGAGACUAUUAAACGGAAAAUAAGUUACUGUAUACAAAAACUAUACAAUGAUAUCUUCAUUUUGUGGCAGAUAUACGUUUCGUGCAACGCACUGCUGGAAACGUGCUACACUGGCAGUCCGUGCUUCACGGCGUUGAAAAUGGUUCCUGACCCGUGCAGGGAUGUGAUUUAUGUAGCGUAUUUAUUCUUAUCUAUGGAGAACACCUUAUAAAUUAUACACUUCUCUUUACACACUUUGUCUUUUUUCUGCAAGGGGAAGGUCAUCUCAUCCAUUUGUGUUGGAGAGAGCAGUCGCAGCAGGAGAAAGACAAACCUGAGUGUAUUCGCAGUCUUUAUCUCAUUCAUAACCAGAUAUCCACUUACACCACUUAUUCCUUUCCAUUCUUAUGCUCUCUAGGUAACAUAGUGGACAUACUGAAUAACGUAUAAUUUCAUAUACUCCCUUAUGCUAAAAAAAUUCAUUAUCGCAAAGUCAAUUAAAUGUGUAGGUUGCUCCAAAAGUAAUGCUUCCUACUUAUUUCCUAGGAAACUACAGCAAAUGCAAAGAGUACGGCAACGCUAUUUGACCGAGAAGUUUAUCAGCUACAAAAUGCUGUUUAUUUCUCAGUGUGGUCACAACCAUUAGCUUUGAACUUCGACCGGCAAUGAACAAGAGCUUGCACGCCGUACUUGUAAAAAUCUGCACGGAUUUCUCCAACCUGGAUAUCUCACUUAAAAAGACAUCACCCAGACAUUGACCAUCUGAUGCGCUAAAUCUGAAUGGGUCAUUAUUUUGAAAAAAGAUGAAAAGGAGCGGCCGUGCUGUGAGUUCUGUGGGCACUGCACCAAGGACAAGCACAGCCUUAUUCUGCAGAUUAAUCACUCACUUAAACGAAAUGAGAAGCAUCAGAAAUUGAAAACUAAGAUUAUUAAGCCAGUCACAAAUUUAGAAGAAACUCAUUGGAAUAGAAUACGGUCAGAAAGUCAUAUAUAGGGCCAAAUUGCUUACAAAUAUUUCUGCACGUUUGAAUUAGAAUUCCUGUUUCUCAUCCAAACCAAGUUUAUGCUCAUUAUGUUUACUCUCGCAUUUUAUCUUUGUGUGAGAAAGGUUAAAUAAAAGCAUUUGGCGAGUUUUUGCAAUUAAAGAGCUUUCACAAGUUGUUAAUAUUCGUUACUGGUAUUGUCCGCAUCCCACCUACAAACACAGAAUUUCCCUACUGACUCUAUAACAUGAGAGUUC